UCCGGUUUGGCACCGGCAGUCUCCGAUGAGUCCCCGGCUUUACCCGCUGGCAACAUCGGACAGGGGUUGCGCUCGUUGCGCCACUUAAGGCAACACCUCACGGCACGAGCUGACGACAGCCAUGCAGCACCUGUGCGGGCUCCCGAAGGAGCGCCGUGUUUCACCAGCUUUACCCGGCAUGUCAAGCCCUGGUAAGGUGGGGAUGACGUCACACAGACUAUAC
rnacentral:misc_RNA from 1 species